rnacentral:lncRNA from 1 species
UUGAUUUGGGUUAGAGGAAGUGAUUCCAUGUAUUUGCAUAUAAACUUCUUCAACCAAAAUGUCAUGGAAGAAGACAUCAUGAUCAUGUAGUUGAUAAAAAUACCAAUUUUGUGAGGAGACAAUAGCAAGAAGAAGCCCUAUAUAUUCCUUUCAUGUUAUGCAGACAACUAGUGGUGCACCUUCUAAUAAUUGUCUCCAUUAAGAGGAGAAACAAGAAUAUCUAUUGAGUUUUCAUCAAGACAAAGUUAUAAUAAGAAUUAUUUGAAUUAUAGGAUGAAUCAAUAGAUAGAUAGUGUAGUAGUAGUGAAGGUGGUGAAUUAUUAACAUUUGGUUCAAAGAAUAUUAAGUCUGCCAUAAUUCAAGCACCAAUCUUAUAUUUUCAUGAUUUCAGCAGGAAAAGGAUAGCCAAGUGGUGAGUGUGGUUGCUGUCACAUCUCAUCAUAAUAGUGUUUCAACCUCUCAUCAUUGUUGUACUGAAUUUAGUUCUGGCUUCUUUCCUAGUUCUAACACAAACAAGUUUCACUUCACAAACUGUCCUGCUAGUCACCACCCACUUUCAACAAUGGAAAUACUCAGCAGCUCUCAGAAAACAACUUCCUGAACAACAUCACAUCCAAGUUAAUAGAGACUGGAAAAAUCAAUGCUAAACUAAGACAUGUGCUCUGUUGAAGAUUCAAUUUAGACAAUUGAAACUAGGAUUAAAUUCAUGAGAGCAAAAAUGUAGUUAAAUGUAUAAAAAGUGACAGUCAAUAAGAUGUUGCAGAAGGAUUUAAAAUACUAUAUAUUUGGACAUUAUUUGUAGUCACAGAAAUUGAACACAAUACUAAAAUUUACAAAUUUCCAACACAAAACUCAACUAUGUGAACUGAGGUCAGGAAUUUGAACACUGUAAACAUUGAUUCAAGACUAAUUGUAUAUAUCAUAAUAAAAACAAAGUGGUAUUUAAAGUGGAAGGUUGUGCAAGCCUGUCUUGGAGCCCAUAUGCACAUGGAUCAUGUGUGAUACCCCUAAGGUACUCUGCAGAGCUGAAUCAAUGCAAAUUCCAGCUAAGAAGACACCUAGUGGAGCAGUUCUGGAAAGAUUCAUGAAAAGUAUGCAUCUUGGUUCAGAAAAAGAGCAUUCAUAUAUGGAUGUUAUGACUAUCAGAAGUUCUAUGUUUUCUCAAAAGGUAAGAUGCUGUCUUAAUUGUUUCAAAAC